AACGUAGGAGACAAACGUUAUCCGGAGUUACUGGGCGUAAAGGGCGUGUAGGUGGUUUUAUAAGUCUGGCGUGAAAUUUCUCGGCUUAACCGAGGCAGGUCGUCGGAUACUAUGAGACUAGAGGACGGUAGAAGGCGUGUGGAAUUCCGGGGUGUAGUGGUCGAAAUGCGUAGAGAAUCCGGAGGAACACCAGUGGCGAAGGC
rnacentral:rRNA from 1 species